AGUCAGUAUUGUUCCUGUGUUUAUGCGUAGACACUACUGUUAUGUUGUCUUAUUCCAUGUUUUUUGUUUUAUUAUUAUGGGCCUGGUUCUUUACCACACUGGACCUGCGGAAUGCAUACAGUCUCAUCCGCAUCCGGGAGGGGAUGAAUGGAAGACUGCAUUUAGCACAAUGUCUGGCCACCUCGAUUACUUGGUGAUGCCAUUUGGCUUAGCCAGCUCCAUCAGUAUUCCAGGCAUUCGUUAACAAGGUGUUCAGGGACAUGCUCGGAUGCCAGGUGGUCCUGUAUAUCAAUGACAUCCUGGUCUACUCGGCUAUGCUGGAGGAUCACAUGGAAUGCCUCCUGGCUAACCGCCUGCUCGUCAAGGCUGAGAAGUGCCAAUUUCAUCAGAAGGCUGUCUCCUUAGGCUACCAUGGCCAGGCCCAACCACCAUAAAAGGGUUACAAUGGUGUUUAGCGUUUUCCAACUUCUACCUCCGUUUCAUCAGGAGCUCCAGAUCCGUUGCCGCCCCUCUCACCUCUCUCCUCAAGGGUCGUCCCCGUAGGUUGGUGUGGAGCCCAGCAGCCGACGAGGCCUUACGUCGAUUUGAGGGACGCUUCACCUGUGCCCCAUUGCUCAAACUCCCAGAUCCCAUGAUAUCCUUUGUGGUGGAGGCUUCAGAGGUGGGCGUGGGGGCAGUUCUGUCUCAACGACAGGGUAAUCUACAGAAAUGGUAUCUGUGCGCACAUUACUCUAAGAAGCUGUCACCUGCAGAGAGGAAUUACGAUGUAUGUGACCGAGAUGUCCUGGUGGUGAAAUUGGCAUUAAAGGAGUGGAGACACAAGCUGGAGGGUGCCAAGGAACCAUUCACCAUCCUCUACCAGGAACCUCCCACUCCGCCUGCCCUGCAAGAAGCUGAGCCCCCGACUGGUGGUUCCUGAUUCCCUAGCUGAUGCGGUCCCCCAAGACACCCCUCCACCCCCCCCCCCCCUGGACAUCGAGGGGGGUCCGGCCUAUGCCGUCAGAUCUCUACUGGACUUUUGUCGUCAUGGGGGUCAGCUCCAGUACCUGGUGGACUGGGAAGGGUAUGGCCCAAAGGAGCGAUGUUGGGUUCCGGUGGAGGACAUUCUGGAUCCCAACAUCAUACGUGAUUUCCACCUUCGCUGCAUGGACCGGCCUGCUCCUCAUCCUAGGGGCUGUCCUUCUGGUCGGCGUCAUCCUGUGGCUGGAGCCGCGCGUUGGGGGGGAUACUGUCAUGUUUACUCCCAAUCCUCCCAUCCAGCAUUCGACGUUGCUGGUAUACUAACCACCGGUCCUGGGAUCCAUCUUUACGCACACCUGGCAUCAAUCAUUACGCGCACCUGCACGUCAUCAUGAGGCACAUCUGGACUCCAUUACCUCACUUAUUACCUCCCCUAUAUCUGGCACUCCCUUAGGUUCUUUCCCCGGUCAGUAUUGUUCCUGUGUUUAUGCGUGGACGCUACUGUUAUGUUGUCCCGUUCCUUGUUUAUUGUUUUAUUAAACAUUGCACCUGC